CACACGGCCACACUGGCACUGAAACACGGGCCAGACUCCUACGGGAGGCAGCAGUGGGGAAUCUUGCACAAUGGGGGCAACCCUGAUGCAGCGACGCCGCGUGAGCGAUGAAGCCCUUCGGGGUGUAAAGCUCUUUCGGCAGGAACGAUGAUGACGGUACCUGCAGAAGAAGCUGCGGCUAACUACGUGCCAGCAGCCGCGGUAAUACGUAGGCAGCGAGCGUUGUUCGGAGUUACUGGGCGUAAAGAGUGCGUAGGCGGUUUCGUAAGUCUGGUGUGAAAUCUCCCGGCUCAACUGGGAGGGUGCGCCGGAAACUGCGGAGCUGGAGUGUGGGAGAGGCAAGCGGAAUUCCUGGUGUAGCGGUGAAAUGCGUAGAUAUCAGGAGGAACACCUGCGGUGUAGACGGCUUGCUGGACCACC
rnacentral:rRNA from 1 species